UACGAAGGGGGCUAGCGUUGCUCGGAAUCACUGGGCGUAAAGGGUGCGUAGGCGGCCUUCUAAGUCGAACGUGAAAUCCCCGGGCUCAACCCGGGAACUGCGUCCCGAUACUGGAAGGCUUGAAUCCGGGAGAGGGAUGCGGAAUUCCAGGUGUAGCGGUGAAAUGCGUAGAUAUCUGGAGGAACACCGGUGGCGAAGGCGGCAUCCUGGACCGGCAUUGACGCUGAGGCGCGAAAGCCAGGGGAGCAAACGGG
rnacentral:rRNA from 1 species